UGCCCUGGGCUGGGAGCAGCCAAAGGCAAGAGGCUGCAGCCCCGCCGGCCGGGCUGGGGGCUCCUGGUGCUGCCCGUGGGGUGGGAUGCUGGAAUUGCCUCUCUGGCUGUGUGCUGAGCUCUGGCUGCAGGGGACUGUCAGGCCUUGGUGGCUCUGUUCCCUGAUGUCCAUUCCCUGGCCUGAAUUCCUUGCAGCUCCCAGCUGGGGAAACCUGGGAGAACAUGGCAGGGACAGAGGUGACAUCUGUAGCUGCCAACUUGGGGUAAUUUCGAGGGGACCCAGCAACUGUUUGUGUAGGAAAAGCCCGCAAUUCCAGGCCGAAUUCCUGCUGCAAUAGCCUCCCAGUGCCUCCUGGAGCCUGGAUCUUCCCCCGCAGAGCUGCUCCUCUAACGCCAGGUUUGCCAGGAAGCAGCCCCGGUUCCAGGUUUGCUCAGCGGGAUCGGGACAAGAACAGGUUGAUAUUCCACAGACCUUGCUGUUUAUAACCCUCCUCCCCCGGCCCCGCUGGUGUCCCUGGGGGGACUUGAGCGAGUUCCCUGGAAUUGGGCCGGUUUUCCGCCCCGGGCCGGGCUCCAGGGGAUGUGAUGGCCCAGGAGAAG